UAAUAAUAAUAAUAAUAAUAAUAAUAGUGAAGGCCUGGACUGGGUAGAGGAAGAAACUGAUCCAAAACAAACGUGCAAUGAGGCCUCAGCCAAUUCCUGGGGGGCAGAUCUGGCUGUGUACAGCAGUUCCUGAAUAAUGUUGGUUCAUUCGAUGUUCUUUCCUUAUAACGUUGAUGAGAAAACAAUUGAUUUGCACCUGGGGCCACCAUCUGUGUGUAUUUGCACAACCUCCCCAUAGCUGCAUGGGUUUUCUCUGAGUACUCUAGUUUGCUCUCUCAUUCCAAAGUCAUGCACAUUAGGUUAAUUGGCAUGUCUACAUGGACUCAGUGUGAGUGAAUGUGAGCAUGGGUGUGAGUGUGCUCUGCCAUGAGAGAUUGUCCUGUUCAGGGCUGGUUCCCACCUCACUCCGUGAGCUGCUGGGAUGGGCUCUGGCCACCCAUGACCAUGAACUGGAAAUAAGCAGGUAAAGAAUUAUCUUACUUGGUUUUAUUAAUCUUUCUUAAAUGUAUGUAUAGUUCACAUUUAUUUCAAUGUUUAAUAUUAGAAAUGUUUUGCCUUUAUUUAGAAGUUUGGUAUUUUGUGAUCAGAAAUCUGCCAUAGGAACUUCAUUAUAGUUUAUAUCAAUUAGCCUAUGGAAAAAUUGUUUUUGUUAUAUGUCAUUUUGCUUAAAGCUGCAGUUUCCAGGACUCUAUCAACAACAUUAAGUGAGGACUUUGUGUGAUUUGCGGGGCCAAGUGCAAAAUGAAAUUGUAGGGUACCUUGUUCAAAAUGCAAGAAAAAAGUGUCAUUAGAGGUACAGAAACACACUUUUUUUUUCUAUCUGUGGUGUCUCAAAUUGUUAUGGUGGUGUUAUUUUCUUCUAAAUGUCUUUUUAAGGAAAGAAAAAUAAAAAUUUAAAUU
rnacentral:lncRNA from 1 species